AAACCCCGAAUCUGUCAAUGCUGAUGCUGUGGAAAUCUCAGCCAGCAAGUCGAACCAAAAGUAGGACCAAAGUGCAGAAAAUGGGUUGAAUAGACAUCUUACAUGGAAGUCCAGUGAUUUAGAGCACGGUGGAUUCAAAUUCCAGCUGUAUGGCCUUGCUCAGUUCCUUGGUCUGAUCUUCAGAUGAAUGUUCUCUGUAAUGUGGAUGGACACGUUGCCACCUCUUAGUUGUUACAAGGACCAGACGGUGUAAAACACGGCUCUGACCUCCAGAUUCGGUGGUAAUGCGGCCGUAGAGCAGAGAGCGCAUCUUCCAUACCUGGACGGUACAAGCUGGGAAUUCUGGCUCC